rnacentral:rRNA from 1 species
GACUGCCGGUGACAAACCGGAGGAAGGUGGGGAUGACGUCAAGUCCUCAUGGCCCUUUAUGUGUAGGGCUUCACACGUCAUACAAUGGUCGGUACAGAGGGUAGCCAAGCCGCGAGGUGGAGCCAAUCCCACAAAAACCGAUCGUAGUCCGGAUUGCAGUCUGCAACUCGACUGCAUGAAGUCGGAAUCGCUAGUAAUCGCGGAUCAGCAYGCCGCGGUGAAUACGUUCCCGGGYCUUGUACACACCGC